rnacentral:lncRNA from 1 species
GGGGUUUAAACUAGGGUCAGUGGGGUUACUGGAACCACACAUAUAUUUUUAUUUGGCCUUGUCUCAUUUUUAUUUCAUCAUUUGUCCUUUCGAUUUUUUGGCAUUUUGGACAACUUUGUUUUCCAGUUUUCACUAGAAAUAACUUUGAAGAUGAUAUAAUUUUAUGCAAAUUUUAUUUGCUAUUUUUACAAUGUUAUCAAAAUAGAUCUCAUAAAUAAUGCCUUGAUAUUUACACAGUUGAAUUUUUUUUGGUAGAAAAAAUACAACACAAUUCCUUUGGAUGACAACUACCUAUACAAAUAUGAAUCUCGAAAAAUGUUUGUAUGAAGCAACCAAAAUGGCUGCCUGACAAUACAAAUAAAGAUAAAUCUUGGUCGUUUGUCUGUUUGAAAUGUCCAUGAUUCUGCUGUCUCUAAUGUCAAUCUCUGUGACCUUGAGAAUCUGAAAUAAAAAAUAUUUAGAUGAAAGUUUUGUAAAUUAUAAAACAUGAAAAAUAUGUUGUAAAUCAAGAUAUUUAUCAAGUGCACCUCUAAUAUUUUGGAAUUUAAUUUAUUCCAUAUAAUUUUUAUUUCAAUAGCCUAACUGUUUAAACCGC